rfam:Agrilus planipennis Contig71794, whole genome shotgun sequence.
UGAGAUAGAGGGGCUUUAGUCGGUAGAUCCGAGGACUUCUUCCUCGGGAAUCCGACACUACCCAGUCGUACGGACGGCUGAUUGGGUGUCUUUUGAAGAUUUCCCCUCU